CGCUCACGCCAAGCUGUGCAGUCACUGAACAGAGACGCUGGAGUCCCCUCGCCUGCUGGCUCCUUCGUCUUUUCCUGCGCUUCUCCCAACUCAGCUGGAACCUCCUCCACUCCAAAAGGCCUCGGUGUUGGGUGUGCGGGGGGCCAGGAUGCCGGGGAGAGUCUGCCUGCACUCAUGCUUUUGUUCCUCGUCACUGGCAGCCUUUAGCUCCCUCGGCGCGAACGGCGGGAGUCGCACCGGACUGCCCUGGUGCGGAAGCCCGGUACAGUAGAGAGGGAGGGCCAGUCGACAUUUACCCAACAACAACGGCUCACGGUGGGGGGGAUUGGUUGCAGGGAUUGGGCGGUGAGGCUACCCUAUUAACAGUGGUCCAGGAUUUUAAUUUGUUUUUGAAAGCAUAGGAGUGGUCUUGGAUCAGUGGAGAAGGCUCAGAGCCUGCUUCAAAAACCGCAGGAGGCAGAAGGGGAAUGGGAACCAGUUACUCCUUGGGGUUGAUCUUGGGUCAGUGUUAUCCUCCCCACACCACAACGCUGUGCACAACUGGAGAAGCCCUGAGACUGGUCUCAGACAAGCAGUCGUAAGGCUUGUGUCAUUUCUGCAAAAGAAAGUGUGCAAGGAAUUUUGUAUUGAACUCCUGGGCUGUGGUGUAGUCUGGCUUCAGUCUACCUCAUCCAAACUGUCUGAAAUGAAGGGUGUUGCUCAGCUCUGCUGUGGCUAUAGGACGGCCGCCUGCGACAGCAACUAGAUCAACACAACAAUGAGAGUAAGCUCUGGUUAGCAACACGCAUACACAAAAAUGUUUGCAAGCUCACAUUGUCAUGUUCAAAAGGUAUUUUCUUAAUAGAAGUUUAACUAAUUUGUUUAAUGAAUCAUACUUAACCAGAUUUUUAACAGUGACUCAGUCUUCACUUGUGGUGUUUCUAAGCUGCAAUUAUGAGCUGCAGAUAAAACAGAACUGUGCAGUGAUGCGUUCCGUGUUUCAUUUGGAGUUUGAGUUUGGCCUCGUUGUAUUGCUGUUUGAAAGCCAAACUAGCUUGCUAUUUUCAGCACUGACUGUUCUGGACUUUGUUCCCUUAGUAGGGGUUAAAGUUGUUUACAUAUAGGAGGAAAGUCACAUUUUCUGCUCAGGCGGGCAGAAGGCAAUGAAAGUGUAAGGUUGCACUGGCCACUAAAUGUAGUGGAGGUACCUUACUGUUUAUAUGAGAAUUUAUAUAUGUCUGACCACAUGUUUCUUGUGUAUUUGUGUUUGCAUGCCUCCACGAGAUUUGUGUGUGCGUGGGCGUGUACAUACUUGAGUGUGAUGUGCGUGAGGGAGAAAAAACUGUCCGGAAAUAAAUACUGACCCCGAUAUAUAAAUAUGUAUAAAUAAAUAUGACCCCGAGCCAUGCUUAUGACUGCACUGUCUCCACUUAAAGGAAGCGACCCCCUCCUCCCCACAACGUGCCCUCACCUCCAUGGGACUGAGGCUCAACUGCCGUUUGUCCGCCUGCCGAGCCUCCGGCCCACGUGCACCACGUCCAGGGCUGUACCUGCAGGUCCUGGACUGGGCUGCUGUGCCCCCUCUCCCACCCCCUUAGGUCCGUGGGCCUGAUCGGUUCUUAUGUUUAGACGCCAUUGGUAAUGAACCUAGUCCCAUGUGCUUUUCAUGUCGACCCCAUUGGAACGGAACUGAAAAAUCCCCCACUGAAAGUGCACCGAAUUGCAAACCUCCACCACAUUAGACAUAAGUGAAGGGGUGAGACAGAUGACGUUUGUAGGUCAAAGAAGGUAGGUGUAGAUAAAGAGAGAAGAAUAACUCUUCCAGAAAAUAUAAAUAUUACAGAGGACAGAGAUUUUGGGUAGAAAUUAGUUCAAGGCGUUUUAAUGCGCCGUGUUAAGGACAACAUCACUUUAAAAGAUAAAGAAUCCUAUUGAUUGCCACAUUUCUUUGCUUGAGGAUUAUCACAUUGUAAACACACUCCAACAGGUAUCCUUUCAGUUAUCAUGGAGAUGACAUCCAUACUAAUACUUUCAAGGUCCAGAGCUGGAUUCACAGACCACCGGAUUAUUUUGCUUUUAAGAAGAAACAACCCAAGUGUGUCGUAUAUAAGCCACCAUACAUCCACGACUGAGUCCUCAAGGCGGCCACUAACCGGGCUGGCGGCUCGACUGCAUCGCUUGGCUUCUGUCGUCAUGGAGCUGGUUUAGCCAUUGUCUUUUGUGCUUUAUGACUGCCGCAAACAGCAAAGUGUAUUUGCAUCUUGUUUAAUGAGUCAUCGGUGUGCAUAGCCUCCCCCCUUUGUGUUCCUCUUACAGAUAUUAUGUGUAAAUAUUUGUGAUGAAGCAGUAAAAAAAAGAAAAGAAAGAAAACCUGCCCCACCAGCCCAUAAUUUGUUUUUUGCGGAUGCAAAAUUUGGUAUUUGUGGAUGCAGAUGAAGUGACGAAUAUGAAAUGUAGCCUGUAGAUUUCUGUGCACUGGUCUUAUCGGUCAGUUCAUUCACACCGACCUACUAUA